CGUGAACGCUGUGAUACGUCUGACCUUCAGUCCGAAGAAGAAACCCAGACCAGUCUUAAAAGAAAGCACAAACCAAAUCCCCUGUACACAUAUACGGACUCAGAGGAUGAGCAGCCUACAAAAAAACGGUUUCCCCAGGCCCCUCGAGUGAAAAUACCAGCCCUCAUCACUCCGCAGUCUGCCCCCCAGCCCACUGAUAGCAACCAUCAUAAUGCCCCACCCAGCUUCCGGCACCUUUCGCCACUCCGGCACAAACCGACACAGCUUUGCGAUCUCGCCAGCAUGCAGAGUCUGAUGUCUUCCCUAUAGAUGAUUCCAGAGACUCUGUGAGGCCACUAUUACAACGCAAGUUUGAAAAUCUUGGAAUUUCACAGUUUACAUGGUAUAACAAAUAUAUGUGACAGGCAAAAACUAGUAAACACUUUUAGCAGUUACAAGAACUAACAAAUGAAUAUCCAACAAAAGGGAAUAGAAAUACAUUGUACUGCCAAUACUUUGGUUUAUUCUUUGUAUGACUUGAAAAUCAGGCUUUAGGGAAAACCAAAUGACAUGUUUCUAUCAUCAAUUACAUGAAGUAAACACACAAGCACUUGCAUACACAUUUAAGACAUGAGACACACUAAUUCCAUCUCUUAAAAUGUGUCUAUAGGUGAGACGCUUUGCGUUGAUUGGUGCUGCUGGACCACACUGGAGGUGCGAGUCCGCCGUGUAAUGGUUUAUGCCAUUACAAAGGAGCUGGCCUCUGUACUCAACUGGGCAGGGGAAAAAAUACCAAGGACCAGACAAAGCAAAAAAGGGCAUUUAAAGAGACAGCGCUGUGCAGAUGCAUAUUUGAUGGCCUGGCGCAGCAGGUAGGGGCGAACUCUAUGUCUGAGUUGGUCUUUGCUCA